AGGACGAACGCUGGCGGCGUGCUUAACACAUGCAAGUCGAACGGUAAGCACUCCUUUCGGGGAGUGGUACGAGUGGCGAACGGGUGAGUAACACGUGGGUAAUCUGCCCCGCACUUCGGGAUAAGCUCGGGAAACUGGGUCUAAUACCGGGUAGGACCACAGGAUGCAUAUCUUGUGGUGGAAAGCGUUUAGCGGUGUGGGAUGGGCCCGCGGCCUAUCAGCUUGUUGGCGGGGUGACGGCCCACCAAGGCGACGACGGGUAGCCGGCCUGAGAGGGUGUCCGGCCACACUGGGACUGAGAUACGGCCCAGACUCCUACGGGAGGCAGCAGUGGGGAAUAUUGCACAAUGGGCGAAAGCCUGAUGCAGCGACGCCGCGUGAGGGAUGACGGCCUUCGGUUGUAAACCGUCUUCUACCAGAGACGAAGCGCAAGUGACGGUAUCUGGGAAGAAGCACCGGCCAACUACGCGCCAGCAGCCGCGGUAA
rnacentral:rRNA from 1 species